rnacentral:rRNA from 2 species
AGGUGCGAUCAUACCAGCACUAAUGCAUCGGAUCCCAUUAGAACUCCGCCGUUAAGCGUGCUUGGGUGAGAAUAGUACUAGGAUGGGUGACCUCCUGGGAAGUCCUCGUGUUGCACCUC